rnacentral:piRNA from 1 species
UGCUAAUGUCCCUUUUCAGUUUCAGUGCC